CCCCGCCGGGAUGGAGCGUGCGGGCGAGGCCCGGCCCCUGCUGCCGCCGCCGGGUCCCGCCAGGCUCUCCUCCGCCGGCGCCGUCUGCAUCCUGCUCAAGUCGGCGCUGGGCGCGGGGCUGCUGAGCUUCCCCUGGGCCUUCGGCAGGGCCGGCGGAGCUGUCCCGGCCCUCCUGGUGGAGCUGGGCUCGCUGGUCUUCCUGGUGAGCGGGCUGGCGGUGCUGGGCUACGCGGCGGCCCUCAGCGCCCAGCCCACCUACCAGGGGGUGGUCCGGGCAGUGUGCGGGGCAGCAGUGGGAAAGCUCUGCGAGGUCUGCUUCCUCCUCAACCUCUUCAUGAUCUCCGUGGCCCUCCUCAGGGUGGUGGGCGACCAGCUGGAGAAACUGUGUGACUCCCUGUACCCCAACGGGACGCUGAGUGGAGCCCCCCUGUCACUGCCCUGGUAUGCAGACCAGCGCUUCACUCUCUCAGCUCUCUGUGUCUUUGUCAUCUUCCCGCUCUCUGUCCCCAAGGAGAUCGGCUUCCAGAAGUACUCCAGCAUCCUGGGCACUCUCGCUGCCUGUUACCUCACCCUGGUCAUCAUCCUGAAAUACCACCUGCAGACAGAGAGCCUGGGCUCACCUGAGCCCCCCCCACCCUCCAGGGCCUCCUCCUGGGCCUCCGUUUUCAGCGUCAUCCCCACCAUCUGCUUCGGCUUCCAGUGCCACGAGGCCUGCGUGGCCAUCUACAGCAGCAUGCGCAACCAGAGCUUCUCCCACUGGGUCGCCGUCUCUGUGCUCUCCAUGCUCAUCUGCCUGCUCAUCUACUCCCUCACGGGGCUCUAUGGCUACCUGACCUUCGGCGAGGCCGUGGCACCCGACGUCCUAAUGUCCUACCCGGGGAAUGACCCGGUUGUCAUUGUUGCCCGCCUGCUCUUCGGUGUCUCCAUCAUCACCAUCUACCCCAUCGUGGUGCUGCUGGGCAGGUCAGUGGUGCGGGAUGUGUGGGUGACUCCCAAGCGCAGAGCCGCGGCAGUGCCCGAGGCACAGGAGCAGCGAAGCCGGGUGGCGCUGACGGUCACCUGGAUGGCCGCCACGCUCGCCAUCGCCCUGUUCGUCCCAGACAUCGGCAAGGUCAUUGAGCUCAUUGGGGGCAUCAGUGCCUUCUUCAUCUUCAUCUUCCCAGGGCUGUGCCUGGUGUGCAUGACUGGGACCCGCACCCUCGGGCCACGCAAAAAGUGAGUGUCUGCACGCUUGGAGUGGUGGGAAAGGGCAGGGGGGCAGCUUCCCAUGAUCCGUGGCCCCAGCAAGGCCCCUGCGGUCACCCUGGCCAAGGCAGGAGGAGUCUCAUGAGGAGGGGGAUUUGAGGCACCUGUAGGCACUGGCAGCAGGACCCUGUGGUGGGGCUGAAGGGUGGGUAUGGAGGGAUGUGCCUCUAACAUGGAGGAUGUGCCUGGGUACCACAGUUGAGUCCAGGCACUGAGGAGGUGUCCAUAAAUUGGAAAUGUGCCUGUGCACCAGGGGUGUGCCCAGGGAUGUGACAAGGGAUCAGGGAUGUGUACCAGACCCCUUGAGCGAGGUUUGGAGACACUGCGGCAUACAGUGGUGACUUCAGUGGGGGUCAGAGGGCCAUGGUGCUCCAAGGCUGCAAAAGCCCAUGUUAGGGGGACCUGGUAUGUUGCUGGUGAGUUUUGGGGUAAGCAUGUGCCAAAGUGUGUCUCUGCCCCUGGGGGAGCAGCGGAGUCUGAGUGAGGAUGGAGGUGAUGUGUGUGGGGUCCUGUCCCCCAUGGCAGCUGGAGGGAGCACCCCGGGACCUUGGGGUCUUGGGCAGGAGGUUGGCCUGGGGGACCCACGGCUGUGUGGGCAGGAGGGAGGGUGACUCUGGGGAUGCCAAAGCGCUGGGAGGCCAAGGCAGGCAGUGAGCAGGGGCACCCAGGUGAGCAACAAGGACUUGGAGAGGUCCAUCAGGGAGACCCACCAGAGUGUGAACCUGGGACUGCCAUCACCAUGAGAGGGGACAACAUGAUCCAGGGUGAUGGGGACAGCGAGGGACAGUCCCAGCCUGCCUGGGGCAGUUUGGGAAGGCGCACAGUGCUGAUGACCCCACGAUGGAGCAGCAGUGGGGUUUGGGUGGGCACAGGGGAUGCGCUGGAGGGCCUACUGGGGUCUUCAGCCAUCCGUGAUGCAGAGGAAUGUGGCAGAGGAAGCUGAGACCCUGCAGAAGGCUCCACACAUGGGGCUCAGGGGGUUGCAUGUUACUGGGGGUCAGUUUGGUCCCACCAGCCCCUGCUUGUGUCCCCGCAGGGCAGCUCUCAUUGCCUGGGGUGUCCUCUCUGUGCUCAGUGGUGCCUUCGUCUGCGGGCAGAGUGCUGCCCUGGCCGUGCUGGGGCUGCUGCGCUGAGGGCCAUGGACCCCCCCUCAUCGUGCCCCCCAGCAUGACCCCUCCAACAUGCCCUGGGCACAGCUACACUGCUGGAUCUCAUCAUGGUUUUAUUUGGCAUGACCAUCCCCAUUGUACAGAAGCUAAUAAAGACAAGAGAGGGAA